rnacentral:rRNA from 1 species
AGUCGAGCGGGGGAAGGUAGCUUGCUACCGGACCUAGCGGCGGACGGGUGAGUAAUGCUUAGGAAUCUGCCUAUUAGUGGGGGACAACAUCUCGAAAGGGAUGCUAAUACCGCAUACGUCCUACGGGAGAAAGCAGGGGAUCUUCGGACCUUGCGCUAAUAGAUGAGCCUAAGUCGGAUUAGCUAGUUGGUGGGGUAAAGGCCUACCAAGGCGACGAUCUGUAGCGGGUCUGAGAGGAUGAUCCGCCACACUGGGACUGAGACACGGCCCAGACUCCUACGGGAGGCAGCAGUGGGGAGUAUUGGACAAUGGGGGGAACCCUGAUCCAGCCAUGCCGCGUGUGUGAAGAAGGCCUUAUGGUUGUAAAGCACUUUAAGCGAGGAGGAGGCUACUUUAGUUAAUACCUAGAGAUAGUGGACGUUACUCGCAGAAUAAGCACCGGCUAACUCUGUGCCAGCAGCCGCGGUAAUACAGAGGGUGCGAGCGUUAAUCGGAUUUACUGGGCGUAAAGCGUGCGUAGGCGGCUUUAUAAGUCGGAUGUGAAAUCCCCGAGCUUAACUUGGGAAUUGCAUUCGAUACUGGUGAGCUAGAGUAUGGGAGAGGAUGGUAGAAUUCCAGGUGUAGCGGUGAAAUGCGUAGAGAUCUGGAGGAAUACCGAUGGGCGAAAGCAGCCAUCUGGCCUAAUACUGACGCUGAGGUACGAAAGCAUGGGGAGCAAACAG